AUUGAACGCUGGCGGCAGGCCUAACACAUGCAAGUCGAACGAGUGGCGGACGGGUGAGUAAUGUCUGGGAAACUGCCUGAUGGAGGGGGAUAACUACUGGAACCGGUAGCUAAUACCGCAUACCAUCGGAUGUGCCCAGAUGGGCUUGGCUAGUUGGUGGGGUAACGGCUCACCAAGGCUACGAUCCCUAGCUGGUCUGAGAGGAUGACCAGCCACACUGGAACGGAGACACGGUCCAGACUCCUACGGGAGGCAGCAGUGGGGAAUAUUGCAUAAUGGGCGCAAGCCUGAUGCAGCCAUGCCGCGUGUAUGAAGAAGGCCUUCGGGUUGUAAAGUACUUUCAGCGGGGAGGCGUUACCCGCAGAAGAAGCACCGGCUAACUCCGUGCCAGCAGCCGCGGUAAUUC
rnacentral:rRNA from 1 species